CCGAAGUUCCCACGCCUCUGCCGUCCAUGCGUCUGCCUCCGCAACUCCAUAUGCGGCCAGCAAAUUCCACCGAAGGAAUCCCAGAACCCCAGCGAAGCAACAGCAUCAUCGAAGCCGUGAGUCCACGGUCUUCAGCCGCGUGAGCAGCCGAAAGUCCAUCCCCUCGUCCGCGUAUCUUCAGCCCAAGACCAGGUUCCAUGCCCAGCGAAGCCAUCUCCAGUUGAGCUUGCUUCAGCCCAUCUGCAGAUGCAUUUCCAGCCCAGCAUCAAUUGGAUUGGAAGCCCAGCAAUUUCAGUCUUUCGGGCCCAGCAAAGACAGGCCCAAUUCAGUUUUAUUUCAAGCCCAUUUUCAGCAAUUGUAGUCUUUGAGCCCAGUUUUUGAAGCCCAAUCGCAGCUAGGCCCAAGUCCAAGAGCAAGCCCAUUCCAGUGCAAGAACAAAUCUCAUUUGGGUUGAGAUUUGUUGGGCCAAGCCUAAGGCCCGGUCCAAGCCCGCCGGUGUUGUCGAAAAUCCAAUUUCGGCCGCCGUCGUGUCGCCGUUGCGGUGAUUCGAUCUCCGCUUUUGUCAA
rnacentral:lncRNA from 1 species